rnacentral:rRNA from 1 species
AUUGAACGCUGGCGGCAGGCCUAACACAUGCAAGUCUAACGAGUGGCGGACGGGUGAGUAAUGUCUGGGAAUCUGCCUUAUGUAGGGGGAUAACUACUUGAAACUGUAGCUAAUACCGCCUACCAUACGAUGUGCCCAGAUGGGAUUAGGUAGUUGGUGGGGUAACGGCGUACCAAGCCGACGAUCCCUAGCUGGUCUGAGAGGAUGACCAGCCACACCGGGACUGAGACACGGUCCGGACUCCUACGGGAGGCAGCAGUGGGGAAUAUUGCACAAUGGGGGCAAGCCUGACGCAGCCAUGCCGCGUGAAUGAAGAAGGCCUUCGGGUGGUAAAGUACUUUCGGUGAGGAGGCGUGAACCGCAGAAGAAGCACCGGAUAACUCCGUGCCAGAAGCCGCGGUAAUUC